rnacentral:lncRNA from 1 species
CCCAAAGUUGACCGGGUUUAAAUAAAGAAAAAAUUAGAUAAAUAAAUAAACAUUUAUUAAAAAAGUCCAUUGAAAGUCCAGGCCUACUGUUGCUACCCAAAGCCCAAAUACAAAAACCCAUAUCCGGGUAUAACCCAAUAGCCGGAACAAUACCUAAUACCCUUAAGCUAAACCCAAACCCAAAUAAGGCCCGUUACACCCAGCAGUCCGUCAGACUCAUUAUCCCUGCUAGCCUAAGUCAGACCUAACCCAUUACAUUACAGACCUUGACCCAAAACAAAACAGCCCAAAAGGCCCAAUAGACUUAAGAGAAACAGGGAAACCCUAGGGUUUCCGAAUACUGUGGCGCCGCAAACAUUUCUGGAAGCUUCGGGGAGUGUCUGGCAACCCCCAAAUCGAGGCCACCGUUUAAUGAGUUGUCCCAAGGGGCUUCAAUGCUCAUCAACGCCCCGAUCCUCGGUCGUCCCUUGGUCUGGCCCCAAAUUACGUUAUGAAUGUCAUGACCAUCACCAAGGCUCCAUCAGCGCCGUGAUCAGUGCACGCGUCUACACCAGCAUGGUCACUGCCAGAUCCCUCGCUCGAUUGCCUGCAAGAAAAGGAAACAAACAGCAGAUACGCGAAAAAGCAGAGUAGAAAAUGGCAAGGAAAUCACAGCACAUCAGUCAAAGAUACAAGAAAUCAGAGAUUUCUUUCCUUAUGUAACAAAUCAGUAGGCUAUAAAAAAAGCCUUUGUAACCCUUGUAACGAUUACACAGAUACAGAAAUAAAGAAACGAAUACAAAUAGUUUCAAAGGUGAUAACUGAGUGACUUGUUCUCUAUUUUUUUUAGCCCAUAUAUAUGAACUGUUUAGCAAAAUACUAAGGGUAUUUGAAAAGAAGAAGAACUACCUGUUUUGGAUCUAAAGGAAUGAGGAUUUUUAAACCCUCCGAUCUUCGUAUACAGUGGCCCUUAGGGCGGCGCGUGGGCGCGUGGACCGGCACGUGGCGUACGAAGGCCAGAACCGGAGCUCCCUUCCUCUCUCUCUUUCAGAGAGAAUUUUUUAGUUUUUUUUUUAAAAAAUCGGGGUUCAAAUGAAUCUUAAGCUGAGAAGGUAGCUUAUAUAGCUUGAACGAAACGGCGUCGUUUUGCGACCCCCAGGAUCCGCGUGUUGACCCGAUUACCUGGGGAGGAUCCGCGCAUUUUUUAAAAUUGGGUUAAUUUCCCAAUCGGUCCUUCUACCCCUUUUGUGUUUACAAUUAAACUAUUUUAUUUAUGAUUUGGCCCUAUUAUUUUAUUUUAGUUUUAAUUUGACCCUGACAGUUGUUAAAUUAUAUUCUGAGAAACGUGGCCGUUUUAAGAAUAGGGCAUUUUGCCCAGUGAGUCCCUCUAAUUUUACGCGCGUUUUAAAUAGGGCCUCAAUUCAGUUUUGUUUCUUUGAAAUUCGCCCUGUAAUUUUGCUGAAUUUUAAAUUUAGUCCUAUAUUUAUUCUAUAUAUAUAUCUAUUUUAUAUAUUGAUAUUUAUUUUUAUCCUUAUUAUUUAUAUUAUAUACUAUAAGAUUAUUUUAUUAUACAUAUAUUAUUAUUCUUCAUAUUACCUAUUAUUUUUCAAAUUAUUUUACAUCAUUAUUUUUUAUAUUAUUAUAUUUUUACUUGUAUUAUAUGUUAAUUAUUUAUACAUAUAAACUUUCAUUAUUUUAUAUUAUAUCUAUUAUAUAUCUUAUUUCCUAUAUAUUUAAAUUAUAUUUUAUAACAUUUAUUUUAUUUUAUUUUUAUUCUAUAUUUUUUAUAUAUAUGUUAUGUGUAUCAUAUAUUAUCUAUUAUAUUAUUCAUUAAGAUUUGUAAAUUAAAUUACAUUUUAAACUCAUAUUAUAUAUAUUAAAUUAUUAAUUAUGUAUUAUUUUAUUUUAAAAUGAUGUUUUGUGAUAUGUAUUAUUUUAUAAAUCCUUUUACCUACUUUUAUUUUAUAUAUAUUUUUAUAUAAUUAUUAUUCUCUUAUAAAUAUUUUGUUAUUAUAUUUUAUAUAUUAUGUAGCAAAUACUAUUUUAAAAUUAUUAUUAAAAUUUAGGUCUUUAUUUGUGUUAUGUGUAUACUUUGUUGACAAUAAUUUAUUCCAUUGUUUUUAUAUUGCAUAUAUCAUGCGUUAUUUUAUAUUUAUUAUUUGAUAUUACAUUUCAUGAGCAUAUACAAUGAUAUUAUAUUACUCUUUUGUAUGCCAUACAUUAUUUAAUUAUUGCUUUCUUAUAUAUAACGUGCAUUAUUUAAUUAUCACUUUGUAUGUUUGUAUAUCUUGUUUAUUCAUUCUCAAUACAUGCUAUAUAUAUAUCUAUGUAUGCAUAUUGUUACUAUUUGCUUUAUAUGUAUUAUUUUAUAUGUAUAUAUCUAAUGCACGAUCUUUAUAUCAUAGUAUUCAUUUUUAAAUGCACGUAUUAUUUACCUACUACAAUAAUAUGUUACUAUGUAUGAUUUAUAAUGCAAUAUAAUUCCUCACACAUCACCAUUUUUUUAAAAAAAGAGCUCCAAGGUUUUCAAAAAAAUAUAAAGGCAAUGCUUGAUGUUUGGAAAUUUCGGGAAAGUAGUGCCCUAACUUAUCGGUUUGCGACUCUUCUCGUUGAGUUCGAAUAAUCAAAUACCCUUUUAAGUUUUUAAAGGUUUUCAAAAUGUAAGUGACUGUCUUGGAAUUUCAAAGAAAUAUGACCAAACUUACUGGAUGUGGCGUUUUGUUGUUUCAAGAUAGGGAUUUUCGAAAGGCUAACUCAAUGUCAAUAUUUUACGAGUGAGUUCCAAUUUUCAAAAUCCAAAAUAUUUCAAAGAGGAUUGCGUCUUAAAAUUUCUAAUUUCCGACCUUAAAGACAUUUGAUAAUCAAUUUGGUACCAAUUUUUGGGCGUUACGAGGGUGCUAACCCUUCCUCGUACGUAACCGACUCCCGAACUCGUUCUUUUGAUUUCGUAGACCAAAACCGAUGAUUUUAAAAUAAAAUUGAUCUAAAGGUGAUCCAAUCACACCUAAAAAGCUUGGUGGCGACUCCCGUUUUCAUUUUUUUAAAGUCGAUUCCCAUUUUCUAAAACUCGAUUUGAAAAUGAUUUCGACAGCUUGGCGACUCCACUGCGGACUAAUAAGAGAGUCAAGCCGUGUAAUUGAUUAUCUCUUGUCUUAAUGUCGGAAAUUAAAAAUUUUAAAAUUUAAUUUUCUUUGCAUUACAUGUGUUUGUGUUAUUGCAUGUGUUGCUAUAUUCUAAUACGCAUUGCAUUUGCAUGACCGUUGUGGUCACACCCUUAAGUGGGAGUGAGAAGCUACGCCUUCGUGAGGUUUUCGCCUCCGUGCAGGAUAGUGGAUCACUUUUGGGAUACAUCCGUACCUAUGGUUUCGUGAGAUUUUCAUCUCCGUGUAGCCAUAGGGAAAUGUGUCCCCCUGAACUGAACUCGAUUCAAAUGAGCCUAUAAUGGGUGAGGAUCGAGGAAUCUGCUGGUUCAGGUACCUCAACUUUAGAACUAAACCACAUAUAGAAGGACCGUAAGAGCUCAACCUAGAUAGAAUUAUACCGUAAUUAUUACCCUUACAGGUUAUCUUUGAGUUUAUUGUUAUCAUGUGAUACUAACUAUCUCUUUUCUUUUGUUGCAUAUCAUUUCGCAUUUAAAAGGUAUCAAUUCGCGGUCAGUGUCUAAAUUAGAGAGUUUUAUUAUAGAGAACGGACUUCUUGAUAGAGUGGAGAGCAAUGCCAACGUCCAUAGAUGGUCUGAGCAAACUCAGUUAGAAAAGGGAGAUAGUAUAGCUGUGGGAUAUAUGUCGGAGCUGUCAGGAUAUACUCGCAUCAGUGUCACGCAGGAUAAUCUCCAAGAACUUAAGGAGAUUUGGGAUCAAUGGGGCAACGAGACUAAACAGUUAUUCUAUGGUAAUUACGUAGAUUUACCUUACUUGCUCGAUGUUCAAAUAGAUGAGCACUUGUUCCGAGCCCUCGCUCAGUUUUGGAAUCCAGCGUAUAGUUGCUUUACUUUUGGGGAGGUAGACUUGGUGCCUACCGUAGAGGAGUACACUGCCUUGUUACGUUGUCCCAGGUUCCAGGUUGAUAGAAUCUAUUCUCGAGCUGCUAAUGUCCCUACCUUUUGGAAGAAAUUGAUGACUAUUACAGGGAUGAGUGAGCAGUGGAUUACGACCAGAAUUAAAGAGAACGGUGAGUGCAAGUGCAUUUCAUGGGACGCUUUGAAGGGUCUGAUUUUGAUGCAUCCCGAUGAAACAAAGAGGGUAGAUGUUUUUGCCUUAAGUUUGUAUGGAUUGAUGGUGUUCCCUAGGGCUUUGGGAUAUGUGGAUGAGGCAACCACGGAUCUUUUCCAUAGACUCAGUAAGAGGGUCACUUCAGUCCCUGCAAUUUUGGCAGAGACAUUCAGGUCCUUAGGCACAUGUAGAAAAGCUGGUGCAGGCAGGUUUGUUGGUUGUGUACAAUUGCUUCUAGUUUGGUUCUAUAGUCAUUUUCAAUUGGUAGAUAAGGUCGUUUGUCGGGUUUUCUUCGAGGAUUACUCACCGCUGAAGGGCAUAGUCGCUUCAACUAGGAGAGUUGAUGUUCCAGAGGAGAAUUGGAUAGCACUACUUCAAAAUCUUCAGUCGAAAGAUGUUGAGUGGAGAGCUCCAUGGAUGAUUCCUGGUGAGAUUCUUUACCGUUGCGGCAGUUUCGAUUGGGUCCCUUUAUUGGGAAUUUGGGGUGCCAUUGGUUAUGCCCCCUUGCUCGUGUUAAGGCAAUUCGAUUUGAGGCAGUUCGUGCCAGCAACUCAUGGGCUAACUCAAAGUGAGUUCGCAUAUAGAGGAGCUGAUUACAAGAAAAGGGUCGGUGAGAUCUCUAGCGCUUGGAACAAGGCGUGCCGAUUGAAAGGAGUAGCUAUUGGCCCUGCUACGACUCCAGAAUAUGUUGAAUGGAGAGGUAGAAGGAUCAAUGAUAACAUUCCUGAGCCAAAUAUGGAAAGAGCUCGACCGAUGGAGGAAUAUCUGCAAGUGAUGCCCUCGGAGUUAGAAAUUAUGAAGCAAGAAUUUGAGAGGAAAAAUCUGGAGCUCGAGAAAAGGAUAGCAAAGCUUGAAGAAGAAAAAAUGUACUUGAGUUUAGAUAUUGAUGUCCAGAAGAUGGAGGUCGAAAAAAAAAGAAAGGAAGGAAAAGAGGAAGAUUGAAGAGGAUAGAGAUGACUUGAAGGAAUACUACAAAAAGGCACAGGUAUCCUUGAGAAGAGCGAAAAUAGGAGGGUCUUCAGAUCAAUUGCAGAAAGAGGUCCAAGAAGGAAAGGCAAGAGCUGAGUACUGGGAGAAGAAGUUUCAAGAGAUGCAAUCGCGAAAUUUGGCAUUAGAAGAAGAGAAUAAAGGGUUGAAGUCUAAAGUAACUGAGCUUGGAAGAUCCCUUCGAUGGCAUCGCAACCAUGAUUCUACGGUCGAGUUAAAAGAGCUAAAGAGUAAAGUUGAAGAUUUGGAAGCAGCAUUGCAGGAAAGUAAACUUCAGAUCGAGCAACUCGAGACACAAGGAGAUUAUCUAAAGGGAGAGCUUCAUCAGUCUAGAGGGCAGAUUAGAGAAAUGGAUCAUGUCAUGGAAGAAGCCAUAGCUCAGAUUCGAGAGGUUGCUGAAUAUGUGCGAGACUUGGUUGUACGAGCCGAGGUAUUGAGUAUGAUGUGUGGGUCGUCGUCAGACAUCGGAAAAGAGUUAGCCCUUUUAUUAGAUAAAGUUAAAACUUUGGGCAUUAGGGCGAAAGCAUACUUGUAAUCCAUUUAUAUGUAAAGAUAUUCUUUUUCUAAAUGAAGUUUUCUAAAUGAGAUUGAAUCGAGAUUGAUGCCUUUGUUGCAUUCAUACAUUUGCAUUACAUCAUAUCAUAUGCAUUCAAGGUUAUAGAAAGACCCUAAUUAGUUAAAGUUUCUUUAUAAAGGUAGAAAAGAAAAACUGGAAAUUACGCAUUCUUACGGCACUCGCACUAAAACUAAGAACAUGGAUCAAAGGUUUGAGCAGUUGCAAAAGGAUAUGCAAGACCAGUUGCAAGAGCAGUUGGCUAAAAUGCAGAAUGAGAUGAGGGAGCAAAUGAUGGAAGCUCAGAGGAAUAUAAUGGCCGAAAUGGCUCAGUUACUGAGGGCCACUGAUAAAGGAAAGGCUCCUAUGGCCAUCAUUGAAGAGGAAAAUGAGGGUCCUCUUCUAGGUUUUACACCGCCGCAUGUAUCAUUGCAAACCGAGGCACCUCCUAGAAGGCCAUCUACUACUGUGAGGCCUCAGCAUGGGCUAAUCGAUGCUGGUAUCCAUGUGAAUUUUUCGGUUGGUUCAGGGCUUAAUAUGGGUGACAAUCUUACUAAUCCUCUUGUUCCUGAUCUAGAUAUGGUGAAAAAGGAAUAUUUGAAGGCCGAAGCUGCAAGGUAAUUAGAUGAACGCUGUAGAUGGUUAGAAGAAAAGUUCAAGGCUUUGGAAGGCACUGGCAAUAAUCAUGGGGAUGAUGCCAAGGACUUAAGUCUAGUCCCAAACCUAGUGUUACCUCACAAAUUCAAAAUGCCAGAAUUUGAAAAAUACAAUGGUACUACUUGCCCAGAGGCCCACAUCACAAUGUUUUGUAGAAGGAUGACGGGGUAUGUAAACAAUGAUCAGCUGUUGAUCCAUUGUUUUCAAGAUAGUUUGAUAGGUGCGGCAGCCAGAUGGUACAAUCAGUUGACCGGGCUAGAAUAAGUUCAUGGAGGGAUCUUGCAUAAGCCUUCAUGCAACAGUAGAAUCAUGUAACAGACAUGACCCCUGACAGGAUUACCCUGUAAAACAUGGAGAAGAAGCCUAAUGAGAAUUUUAGGCAAUAUGCACAGAGGUGGAGAGAGGUAGCGAUAGAGGUUCAACCACCACUGUUGGAGAAGGAGACCACUAUGUUAUUCAUUAAUAUUUUGAAAGCCCUAUUUAUUACUCAUAUGAUUGGAAGCACUACUAAAAGUUUUGCGGACAUAGUUAUGGCAGGAGAGAUGAUAGAGAAUGCCAUAAGAGGGGGAAGAAUUGAAGGAGAGGGAGUCAAAAGAUCAGCCCUAAGAAGAAAAGACAAUGAGGUAAACAAUACAAGUGGUUUUAAUUCAAAAGCAGUCACAGUUAGCCAGCCCAAAGUAGCCACAGUUGGGCAACAAGUCUCUUAAAAGCAGGAAUCCAACACUAGGUAUGAGAGGAUGCAAUUUACACCUAUACCUGUGACGUAUAGGGAACUCUAUCAAAAUCUAUAUGAUGCGCAUGCUAUAGCCCCUUUCCAUUUAAAACCAUUACAGCCUCUGUAUCCUAAAUGGUAUGAUGCAAAUGCCAGAUGUGAGUAUCAUGCUGGAAUAUCGGGGCACUUAAUCGAGAAUUGUACUGGAUUCAAGAAAGCCGUAGAGAGGUUGAUCAAGAAUGGGGUUUUAAAAUUUGAGAGUACCUCAAAUACUGAGAAUCCUUUGCCAAACCAUGACAAUCAGGGAGUAAAUGCCAUUGGUGAAGCCGGUGAAAAAAGGGAAAAGGAAAAUGUUGAUGAGAUAAGGAUGCCUAUGAGGGUAAUCUGGAAGGAGAUGAUGAAGAAAGGUAUGUUGACCUUUAAAAAUACGAAAGAAAUAAUGUGGGAUUACGGUGAGUUUCGUGAAGAUUGCGAGGAAUUCAAGGCCUUGGUGCAAGGCUUCAUAGACAACAAAGAGCUACAGGUUUAUGAAGGUAGCUCUAGUGAAAAGCAAGUAUGUGUGUUGGAAAAUGAACAGCAAAGAACCAACAGACCAAGGAUCAUUAUCUCCUUGCCAGGGAAUAAUGAAAUAAGGACACCAUCAGCGCCCAAGGUUAUUAUCCAUACACCUACUCCUUUCCCUUACAAGGAUAGCAAGAAAGUACCAUGGAGUUAUGACUGUAGCGUGACGGUGCCGGGAGAAGGAAACAUAGCCAGCGCAUCUAAAGAUGUACAAGAGGAAGGUUCCCAUACGUGAAGUGGGAAGCGUUAUGAUAUGGGGGACGUCAGGGUGGAGCCCACAAAAUCUAAGAAUGCUGAAAUUGAGAAAAAGAGUGAAGUACCUGUUAACGAGCCGGUGAGAGAGGAGGAAGCUAAGGAAUUUCUAAAGUUUCUUAAGCAUAGUGAGUACAGUAUGGUCGAGUAGUUGCGUAAGCAACCAGCGCGUAUAUCGAUUUUAGCCUUACUGCUAAGCUCUGAAGUGCAUCGAGAAGCGUUGUUGAAGGUACUCAACGAGACAUAUGUCACUCAUGAUAUAUCUGUCAAUAAGUUGGACCGGUUGAUAAAUAACAUCAAUGCUGAUAAUUUCAUCUACUUCAAUGAUGAUCAAAUUCCACCUGGGGGCAUAGGGUUAACUAAGGCUUUGCACAUCACCACUCGUUGCAAAGGAUACACGUUUCCAAGUGUACUCGUUGAUAAUGGGUCCGCUUUGAACGUCCUUCCAUUAUCCACAUUCAACAGAUUACCUAUUGACAGUUCACACAUGAAGACAUGUCAUAAUGUGGUAAGAGCCUUUGACAGAACUGAAAGGAAAGUAAUGGGACGAAUUGAUAUCCCUCUGGAGAUUAGACCAAAUACGUAUGAAGUUGACUUCUUGGUAAUGGAUAUCAAGCCCUCCUAUAAUUGUUUGUUGGGGAGGCCAUGGAUACACUCGGCAGGAGCGGUGCCUUUUUUACUGCGCCAAAAAUUGAAGUUGGUGACAGAUGGACGCUUGAUAACCAUCAAUGCAGAGGAGGACAUCAUAGCAGUCGUCACUAGUAAACCUCCUUAUGUGGAGACAAAUGAGGAGGCUAUUGAGUGUUCUUUUCGUUCUUUAGAAAUUGUUAAUACUACCUUCAUUUCGGAGGGAAGCGAGGUGCUGGUUCCCAGGAUGUCUAGAGCAACAAGGAUGGCCCUACAAAUAAUGAUGGGGAAAGGAGCAUUGCCAGGAAAAGGACUAGGAAAAUAGUUGCAAUGAGGGAUUCAAGUCCCAAAAUUGAUGGAGAAGAAGGAUCGCUUUGGUUUGGGUUUUAAGCCAGACCAUAAACAAAAGAGACAAGAGAUGAAAAAGCGUCAAGUAAGAAGGAAGGCGCAUUUGAACGGAGGAGAAGUAGAGUGGGAACUGAUGACAUUCCCACCUAUAUCCAAAACCUUUAAGUCAGGAGGGUUGCUAGUAAAAGAGAGUCAUCAAAUCAAUAUUGUACAUAAUGAGUGGUUUGGACAGGAAAACCUUGAGGGUAUUCACCCUUACGAACCGGGGAGCUCUCUGAACAAUUGGACUGCGGAGGAUCUUCCUGUAGUCUUUAGAAAUUUUUCAGAGUAAUUCUCGAAACAUGUUUAUUACUCUAGGGCCUAGGAGUAGUAAGAUUACAUUUUGUGAAAAUAGGCCUAUGUUCAUAUAUUAUUAUUCAAAUAAAACAUAACUUUUACCAAUUUAAAAGAGUAUUGUCUCAUUUUUAUCAACCAAUAUUUCUUUAAAUUCUAACAAUUCUUAUUCUUUUAUUCAUAGCACAUAAACGAUCAUUCUCAAAUUCAUUCAUUCUUUAUAUAUUCUUUCAUACCCCUUACAGGUCUCUAGAUAUCAAUGAUAUGAGCGCUAAUACUGCCGUUCCUGAUUUCUCUUGUGAGCAAGACAUGUGUUUAGAGGAGCCUUAGGAUUUUGAAGAUGUUCAAGAUUGUGACGUAUCUCUCGAUCUAUUAAGAAUGGUAAAACAGGAGGAGAAACAAAUCAUGCCACAUGAAAAAGAGGCAAUAGAUAAUAUAGCCCUAGAGGAAGGGAAGGAGGUCAAAAUUGGAACACUGAUCGCUAAUGACACAAGGCGUAGCUUGAUUGAGUUGCUUCAGGAAUUCAAGGAUAUCUUUGCAUGGUCUUAUCAGGAUAUGCCCGGAUUGAGUACUGAUAUUGUAGUACAUCGUCUUCCGAUAAGACAAGAAUGUAGACCGGUCCAACAGAAGUUGCGAAGGAUGCGGCCAAACAUUGUCCUGAAAAUAAAAGAUGAGGUUAAGAAGCAGUUUGAUGCAGGAUUUCUGCAGGAAGUGAAGUACUCUGAAUGGGUAGCUAAUAUUGUACCUGUUCCUAAGAAAGACGGGAAGGUACGAAUGUGCGUUGAUUACAGAGAUCUAAACAAAGCAAGCCCAAAGGAUAAUUUUCCUCUACCACAUAUCGACACUUUAGUAGACAACACAGCGGGAUAUUCGUUGUUCUCCUUCAUGGACGGCUUCUCAGGAUACAAUCAGAUAAAGAUGCAUCCAGAUGAUAUGGAUAAAACUACUUUCAUAACAUUAUGGGGCACCUUUUGUUAUAAAGUAAUGCCGUUUGGGUUGAAGAACGCAGGGGCAACAUACCAACGAGCCAUGGUAAACUUGUUUCACGACAUGAUGCAUAAGGAUAUUGAGGUAUACGUUGAUGAUAUGAUCGCCAAGUCGCGAACAGAAAAAGAACACAUUGAGGUCUUGAGAGGAUUGUUCUUAAGAUUGAGAAAAUUUCAGUUGAAGCUCAAUCCAGCAAAGUGCACCUUUGAAGCCAGAUCGGGGAAGUUAUUAGGCUUCGUAGUCAGUAAAAAGGGAAUUGAAGUUGACUCAGACAAGGUCAGAGCCAUACGGGAGUUGCCUCCACCACGUACUCAAAAAGAAGUUCGAGGAUUCCUAGGAAGGUUGAAUUACAUUGCUCGGUUCAUUUUACAAUUGACCAAGAAAUGUGAUCCUAUCUUUCGUCUCCUCAGAAAGCACAAUCAAGGUGCUUGGGAUGAAGAAUGCCAGAAUGCUUUUGAGAAAAUCAAGCAGUAUUUGUUGAAUGCUCCAAUGUUAUCUCCGCCUAGUCUAGAUAAACCGUUAAUACUAUACUUGUCAGUGUUUAGCAAUUCUAUGGGAUGUGUGCUUGGUCAGCAUGACGAGUCAGGGAAAAAGGAAAAGGCAAUUUAUUAUCUCAGUAAGAAAUUUACUGAUUGUGAAAUGAGAUAUUCACUAAUCGAAAAGUUGUGCUGUGCGUUGAUUUGGACCACACGGAGAUUAAGACAAUACAUGCUAUACCAUACAACUUGGCUCAUCUCAAAAUUAGAUCCAUUAAAAUACAUGAUGGAAUCAACGGCUCUAAAUGGAAGAAUGGCGAGAUGGCAAAUUUUGCUUUCAGAGUUUGAUAUAGUUUAUGUAAGUCAGAAGGCUAUCAAAGGAAGUGCGGUGGCAGACUUCUUGGCCAGUAGAGCUUUAGAGGAUUACGAGCCAUUGAAUUUUGAUUUUCCAAAUGAGGAGCUAAUGUGUAUAGCAGCAACUGAAGAUUCUCCAUGGAAGCUAAAUUUUGAUGGGGCUUCUAAUGCAGUCAGAAAUGGAAUUGGGGCAGUCUUGGUAUCCCCGAAUGGCGACCAUUACCUGUUCAUGUGCAAGUUGGAUUUUGACUGUACAAAUAAUAUGGCUGAAUACGAAGCAUGCAUCAUGGGGCUCCAAGCGGCCAUAGAAAGAGGCAUAAAAACCCUAGAAGUAUAUGGAGAUUCUGCGUUAGUAAUCUAUCAGUUAAGAGGUGAAUGGGAGACAAGAGACCCUAAGUUGAUCAAUUAUCGAAUGGUAGUUUUAGGGUUACUAAGAGAGUUCGAUGACAUCACCUUCAACUAUCUCCCACGAGAUGAGAAUCAGAUGGCAGAUGCUUUAGCAACCUUGGCUUCACUGAUUAAGGCAAACAAAGAGGAAGAGAUGAGACCAAUUCAAAUGAGUGUCUAUGAAUUUUCAGCUAGCUGUUGUAACCUUGAAGAGGAAGAAAAGGAUGACAAUCCUUAGUAUCAGGAUAUAUUGCGAUAUGUAAGAGAUCGUAAAUAUCCAGCACAGGCAUCCGAAAAUGACAAACGAACCCUGAGAAGAUUAGCUUGUGACUAUGUUUUGGACGGGGAUGUUCUGUAUAAGAGAAGGAAAUACCAAGUACUUUUGAGAUGUGUCAAUGCUGUGGAAGCCAAGCUAAUUCUAGAAGAGGUCCAUGAAGGUGCAUGUGGUACGCAUGCAAAUGGGUUCACGAUGGCAAGACAAAUCAUGAGGUUUGGCUAUUACUGGGCCACUAUGGAAGGAGACUGUAUCAAUUAUGCCAAAAAAUGCCAUAAGUGUCAGAUUUAUGGGGACAAAAUUCAUGUACCACCCUCACCUUUACAUGUCAUGACGUCUCCAUGGCCAUUUUCCAUGUAGGGCAUGGAUAUCAUCAGACCAAUAUCGCCGAAAGCUUCGAAUGGACAUCGGUUUAUUUUCGUAGUUAUUGACUACUUUACAAAAUGGGUAGAGGUUGCUUCUUACGCAAAUGUUACUAAGUCAGCUAUAAGUCGAUUUUUGAAGAAGGAAAUCAUUUGUCGGUAUGGAGUGCCUGAGAGGAUCAUAUCCGACAAUGUAUUGAAUUUGAACAACAAAACGAUAGCAGAGGUUUCGACCAGUUCAAAAUCAAGCAUCACAACUCUUCACCCUAUCGUCCAAAGAUGAAUGGGGCAGUGGAGGCUGCCAAUAAAAACAUUAAGAAAAUAGUGGGAAAGAUGACUGAGACUUAUAGAGAUUGGCAUGAAAAGCUACCGUUUUCACUCUUGGCUUAUCGAACAUCUGUUAGAACUUCUACUGGGGCAACUCCGUUCUCGUUAGUUUACUGGAUGGAAGCAGUUUUACCUAUUGAAGUGGAAAUACCCUCUCUCCGAAUUUUAACAGAGAUAAGGUUAGAUGAAGCUGAAUGGGUUCAGUCUCGAUAUGACCAGCUAAACUUGAUUGAGGAAAAGAGGCUGAAGGCUAUCCAACAUAGUCAGAUGUACCAGAAGCGUAUGAUACGAGCUUAUGAUAAAAAAGUUCGUCCAAGGGAAUUCCAUGAGGGGGACCUUGUGCUAAAGAAAAUCAUUCCCAUUCAAAAGGACUUUAGAGGAAAGUGGAUGCCAAAUUGGGAGGGGCCAUACGUCGUGAAGAAGGCUUUUUCUGGUGGUGCAUUGAUUUUGACAGAAAUGGAUGGAAAAAGCCUACCCAAUCCGGUGAACUCAGACUCAGUUAAAAAUACUUUGUCUAAAAGCGAAAAGAAUCCAAGGUGAAAACCUGCAAAAGGGCGCCUUGAAUUUUGAAAAAAAAAUGGAUAGGCCAAUGUGAAAACCCACAAAGGGCACCUUGUGACUAAAGGGAUUUUGAGUUGAAAACCUGAAAGGGCAGCUCAAAUUUUGAAGGGCAUACAGCAAACUUGCUAUAUUUGACUUGACAGAGAGUGAGGCACAGUGUACAUUGGGGCAUCAACAAAGUACUUUGGAUCUUUUAAACACAUGUCGAACUCAAGAAAGGCUUCGGGGAACUAAUGUAUAGAUGCUCAAGCGGCGAUAUUUAUCCUGUUUGCUGUCUUUAGAUUCUAUUUCUUCUUAAAGAUAUGCUAUCAAACUUAUUUCCUUUGUACUGUUAACAAUUCGAAUCCAAUUAUUCUCAAAGAUUUACUCAUCUCCCGAUAUUUUUUAAGUAUGUUGCAUUGAAAUAAUGAUAGAUGAGCUAAAAUAUUUUCACAAAAGAAGUUUUACACAUCACUUUGGAAUUUCUAGAUAAUACAAGAAACUAAAACAGGACAAUUGUUCGAGAAAUUCACGUAAGUAAGGAAUGAAGGAACUCGAGAGAUUUCUUUCUUCCAGUUCAAAAAGAAAUGGAUGAUUCAAUUCUUACAGACAUCCUCAAUAGAUCAUAGCAUUGGAGGAAGGCCUACAAGCUGAGUAAGAAUAAAGUUUUGAGAAAGAGAAAUGAAGGAAUGAAUAAUGACACCUGAGAUAGGGGUUAUAUUCACAGCACUUUGCAUCAUAACAUGUUAAGGGCAUUUGACUCAUUUCAAUCAUAGCAUACUUAGGCAUAGGCACAUACUCAUCCUACAGGUCAUGAAGAUCAAAGAUUUCAACAUGGUAGCCUAUGCUUAUAGGAAAUAAAUUGAAGACAACAGAUCUAAACUUCAGACAUUUAUGUUGAAGCAGAUCCAAGAUGAUUUGGUAUUCUUGUGUUUACAAGAAACAAGUCGAGGACAUAGCAGAUUUGACUCUCAGACGUUCUCAAAGAUAGCAGAUCUAACCUUCAGAUGUUUAUACUGAAGCAGAUCCAAGAUGAUUUGGUAUUUUUGUGUUUACAAGAAACAAAUCGAGGACAUGGCAGAUUUGACUCUCAGAUGUUCUCAAAUAUAGCAGAUCUAACCUUCAGAUGUUUAUACUGAAGCAGAUCCAAGAUGAUUUGGUAUUCUUAUGUUUACAAGAAACAAAUCGAGGACAUAGCAGAUUUGACUCUCAGGCGUUCUCAAAUAUAGCAGAUCUAACUUUCAGAUGUUUAUACUGAAGCAGAUCCAAGAUGAUUUGGUAUUUUUGUGUUUACAAGAAACAAAUCGAGGACAUAGCAGAUUUGACUCUCAGACGUUCUCAAAUAUAGCAGAUCUAACCUUCAGAUGUUUAUACUGAAGCAGAUCCAAGAUGAUUUGGUAUUCUUGUGUUUACAAGGAACAAAUCGAGGACAUUGCAGAUAUGACUCUCAAAUGUUCUGAAACAGACUCAAGAUGAUUAGACAUCCUUGCAAAUUGAAGAAGUAGAAUCAGUGUCUCUAUGUUCGGCGGAAAGCAGAUUGAAGAUCAUAGAAUCGAUCAAAUUUGGGUCUUUCUAUGAAUCUUUGCUUGAUUCCUGUUACACAGCAAUAAACAAAGAGGGGCAGCUGUAAUAGCCCAAAUUUGACCGGGUUUAAAUAAAGAAAAAAUUAGAUAAAUAAAUAAACAUUUAUUAAAAAAGUCCAUUGAAAGUCCAGGCCUACUGUUGCUACCCAAAGCCCAAAUACAAAAACCCAUAUCCGGGUAUAACCCAAUAGCCAGAACAAUACCUAAUACCCCUAAGCUAAACCCAAACCCAAAUAAGACCCGUUACACCCAGCAGCCCGUCAGACUCAUUAUCCCUGCUAGCCUAAGUCAGACCUAACCCAUUACAUUAUAGACCUUGACCCAAAACAAAACAGCCCAAAAGGCCCAACAGACUUUAGAGAAACAGGGAAACCUUAGGGUUCUUGAAUACUGUGGUGCCGCAAACAUUUCUGGAAGCUUCGGGGAGUGUCUGGCAACCCCCAAAUUGAGGCCACCGUUUAAUGAGUUGUCCCAAGGGGCUUCAAUGCUCAUCAACGCCCCGAUCAUCGGUCGUCCCUUGGUCUGGCCCCAAAUUACGUCAUGAAUGUCAUGACCAUCACCAAGGCUCCAUCAGCGCCGUGAUCAGUGUACGCGUCUACACCAGCAUGGUCACUACUGGAUCCCUCGCUCGAUUGCCUGCAAGAAAAGGAAACAAACAGCAGAUACGCAAAAAAGCAGAGUAGAAAAUGGCAAGGAAAUCACAGCAGAUCAGUCAGAGAUACAAGAAAUCAGAGAUUUCUUUCCUUAUGUAACAAAUCAGUAGGCUAUAAAAAAAGCCUUUGUAACCCUUGUAACGAUUACACAGAUACAGAAAUAAAGAAACGAAUACAAACAGUUUCAAAGGUGAUAAUCGAGUGACUUGUUCUCUAUUUUUUUUAGCCCAUAUAUAUGAACUGUUUAGCAAAAUACUAAGGGUAUUUG